rnacentral:misc_RNA from 1 species
AACUUUCGGCAAUGGAUCACUUGGCUCUCCCAUCGAUGAAGAACGCAGCGAAAUGCGAUAAGUAAUGUGAAUCGCAGAAUUCAGUGAAUCAUCGAAUCUUUGAACGCACCUUGCACCCUUUGGCAUUCCGAAGGGUAUGCUCGUUUGAGUGUCAUUGUACUCUCAUGCUCCCGAUGCUUUUGGAUCGGGAGCGGUGGACUUGGGUGUUGCUGCUUUACUGUGGCUCACCUCAAAUGGAGUAGUGCAACUCUUGGUUGGCAAUAGUACGGCGUGAUAAGUGUCUUCGCCGGCGCCUCAUUAGAGGGUGGCCGAUCGGGAGCUCUGUGCUUCAAACCGUCUUCGGACAACAUCUGACAACUGGACCUCAAAUCGAGUAGGACUACCCGCUGAACUUAAGCAUAUCAAUAAGCGGAGGCU